GGAAAAGAUGGCAGGAGUAGCGAGCCGGGGUUCCAUCAGCCCGCAAUACGGUGGAAACUUAUAAUUGCCAACAACGAAUACGCUUACACUGCUUAAUUAGCAACUCACCCCCUACCUGUGUUGGGCCCGUGGCCCGGGCUAGGGGAUAACUUAAACGGGCCAGCUUUCAGGCCAAUUCUCGGAGGUCUGGCGGGACAAUUAUCGAGAUAGUUCCCAAGGAGGCUGACUGUGGCCGCCAAGGGCGUGAAAUUUAAAUCAUAGUCUGCGCUCGGAGACACUCCUGUGGUCGUUCU
rnacentral:tmRNA from 1 species